GAUGCGUGACCACACUCAUACGACGUCGCAGCGAACGUUUUCUUCUUCUGUUACCGAACUUGAUGUUUUUUAACGCGCUUUUCAUGUCAGUGACUCAAGCUUUGUAAAACCCUAUUCUGCUUCGAUUUCGUUACGAUACCCGCAAAUUGUAUUUUCAUUUCUGCCUGGACAGAAAAAGAUGUUAUUGGUCCAAAUGGCCACUGCUUCUGGAAUGUCUUCUUCUCAUGUGAGUUGAUAUCCUUUCCAUUUAGUGGAUACUUUCAUUUGGAGAGACAUGGACAAAUGAAAUAAAAUAACAAUUUAGUUUAGUGUCUAUCUCUCUCCUAAUGGAAGUGUCCAUUAAAUUGAGAAGAUCUCAACCCUGCUCGUGGUAUUAUUGGCGAUAUGUUCUGUUCUCAAAUUUACAAUCAGAUAGCUUGCCUAGCAUUAAACCUCUAGCUAUUGCUCAUGUUGAUUUCCCAGGUUAGUUCUUAACCAAUGAUGGCUUAUUCUCCUUUAAAUCAUACUAUAAAUUCCUUGUCUGUAAAAGUUGGUUUUGGUGAUGCUUAUUCGAUUUGGAACUGGAAGGGGCCUGAAAGGAUUAGGCAACAAUUAACUUCUUACAAUGAAGAAUGAAUUAGAACUUAGAAGGGGCAUGACAACUAAUGCUAACUGUGGGAGAUGUAGUGACCAGGUUAACUCUAUGAUUCCUUUGUUGAUAGAUUGUAAUGUGGUAAGGAAUUUUGGACAAGAUUGUCUAUUAUGAUUAUUGGAGUAAAAUUUUUAGCCUGGCUUAAUAUAUGAGUUUAUCUCAUAUCUCACUUAAAUGGCCUUUUACAAUACUACCAGAAUGGAUAGAUGAUCCAAAUUAUUGUUCACUCGUCACUCGUAUUUGGGCUUCACUUCAAAUUCUUUUUCAAUGCUGUACUCGUGGGUGUGUUCGUUACUUCUUUUUCAAUGCUGUACUCUUUUUCAAAUUGUAUUUGAUAUGUGAUUAGUUAAUAGGUAGUUAGUAGUUUGUUAUUAGUUACUCACUUGCUCUCUAUGUAGGUAUGUAACCACUUUGAUUUGAUGUAAACAUACCUUUCAGUUUUCACAUAUCUCAUACAAUUUCAUUUUAUAGUUUGUGUAUAUUUGAUCUCUUCCAUGACCUCAUACUUGUAUUUGCUGAUCCCUUCACUUCCACUUUUUAUUUGGGGUUUGACCAAUUUUUAAUUAGCUAUGUAAAUUGAGAAUUCUUAAGUUGGUGUGAACAAUGAUUCAAUUUCAAAUAUGUUACAAAUUUUUAUUUUUGUUAGAUUAUAUGAGGUUGGUGAAACAGAGUCACUUCCUCGUGAUCAUUAUUAUUAACUAUGAAGAGGUAGCUCUUUUGAUUCAACAGUUAGUCUACUGUCUCAUUUGACUGACCGUUGAAGUUAUUUGCCUAGCACUAAAGAUAUUUUUAAUCAUAUGAUUAAUUCUAACUAAUGUUGAUGACUAAUUUACUAAUUUAGUUGAUGACUAAUGUUUGUCACUGUCCAAAAAAAAAACAGCUAAUAUUUACCGGGUAAUUAAUCUGGCCAACCGCUUUUGAUCGGUUUUCCAUUACCAAACAUAUUUUGUAUUCAUAAAGUUUGAACUCAACACAUUGUCCGAGGAUCCGGAUGUUUGUUUGGUGCUGAAGUUGGAAUAGAUAGAUUCUAUUAAUUUACCAAAAUUCAAUAUAUUAUGUAUGCUUUAAUAAUGGUAAUGAUAUAUCCAUAUAGGACAGAGCCAUUUGAAAGGGUAAUUAGUAUAGUAUAUUAUUUUAUUUGAUUCGUAGGUUUGAAAGGUAGCUGACCAUGCAGGAUUUGACUAUCAGUUUUCGAUUUCAUUCUCAUCUCACUCAACUAGAAAAUUUGUUGAAUGUUGCAUCCCCUUAUAUAUGAAGACCCAAUUUUGUAGCAUUGUGCUCUCAUCAUAUCAUAGUGAUACACCACGGAGCAAAACAAAUACGUUUCCCAUCUCAAAUUUCAAUACCCUUUAGCCUCUUAAUUCAUUGUAACCUUAUUCUUCCUCCACUCCCUUUAACUAAUGGGACCUGGCGGACCAGGAGGGCCCGGAGGGCCCGGAGGACCAGGAGGGUUUGGCGGACCUGGACCUGGUUUUGGUGGGCCUCCAGGCUUCGGUGGACCUGGUUGGGGUCCUGGACCUGGCGGACCUGGUUGGGGUCCACCAGGACCGGGGGGCUUUUUUGGCGGAUUUGGUAAUGGCUUAUGCAGCCUCAUAUCUUCAUGCUUCUACUGCUUAUGCUGUUGCUGGUUGGUACGAGAUUGCUUCGGAGGUCCACCACCACCAGGUCCAGGCCCUUUUUAAACCAGUAAAGCUGAAGGUUCACUACAUGCUGCCUAAUUACUUGCCAUGUCCAUUGUUCUAUUUGGCUCUUGUGUGAUGAGUAUGACCAAAAAUAAAAUAAAAUAAAUUUGUGGUUUUGUAAUCUCUCUUUCACUUUGUAACCAGAAAAAUUUCUCUUUCAUUUUAGCUUAA